GUAGGUGGCAAGCGUUCGUCCGGAAUUAUUGGGCGUAAAGCGCGCGCAGGCGGUUCUUUAAGUCUGAUCGUGAAAGCCCACGGCUCAACCGUGGAGGGUCAUUGGAAACUGGAGAACUUGAGUACAGAAGACGGAGAGCGGAAUUCCACGUGUAGCGGUGAAAUGCGUAGAGAUGUGGAGGAACACCAGUGGCGAAGGCGGCUUUCUGGUCUGUAACUGACGCUGAGGCGCGAAAGCGUGGGGGAGCAAACAGGAUUAGAUACCUGGUAGUCCACGCCGUAAACGAUGAGUGCUAAGUGUUAGGGGGUUUCCGCCCCUUAGUGCUGCAGCUAACGCAUUAAGCACUCCGCCUGGGAGUACGGCCGCAAGGCUG
rnacentral:rRNA from 1 species